GGCUUAGGAACCAAGUCCUCCUGAUAUGAAAUGGUUAAGGAAUGAGCUACACUAACCCAGUAAAGACAUCACACUAUAUCACUAUCCCGGACGUAAAGGUUGGUAGAAAACCAAAAACAACCAAUGGAGCACAAGUUUCAAGUAAAUUUACUUAUCAAUAAUCAAACCAUUUACCGUCCACUUACCUCAGUGGGAUUUAUAAAAAUGACCCAUGGAAACGAUAACAUCAUCGAUAUCAUAAAUUCAUGCAUAAUCUGUAACAUAGUACAUGUCAUACUUUUAUAUUUCAAUCAUCAAACAAUAGUUGCCCCCUUUUUAUCAGCCUACUAGUAUCCGUGGGGAUCCAUAGGGGUCCCCGCUACCCGUGAACCAUUCCCUUGACAAACUAAAUUUCCAAGGCCGUCCCCAUACCCCGUUCGGUAUGGGUGCCAAACAAUAAACCUCAAUACCCCGUCUGGUAUGAGGGUGAAGCGGACCGUCCCCAUACCCCGUUCGGUAUAAGCGCCAAAAUAUUUAAAGUCUCUAUACCCCAUCCGGUAUCGGACAACAUUCUCGGUAGGGUUCCCUAUGGACCCAGUCCGUCCACCAUCUCCCAAGAUAUCUAGCGAGACUGUCAACUUAUCCAUUUAUCAAUUCACAUACCUUUUCUAUUUUUUUCUUAGUUUUCCGUUUCUCACAUAAAGAUGAAUACUUAAAUAAGUAACGAGCAUCCAACAAGGCAAGCAUAUCAUCAGAUUCACAAAAUCAAGCCAUAAUGAAGUAAACAGUGAUUCAUGCAUUCAAAACCAUAAAAUAAAUAAAUCAGAUACCAUACUGCAUUUAGACUGUAAAAUAAAUC
rnacentral:lncRNA from 1 species